UGCUUUACAAGUUGACACUUUGUUCAUUAGACGGAACUGACUGUUUCUUUUUCAGGGAUGUUAAAUGUGGCAGGUUAUUCUGCGUAGAUAAUUCAACUGAAGAGAACUCGUGCAAAUUUUACUUUUCAAACGAAAAUGCCAAUUUAGGAAUGGUUGAACCUGGAACAAAGUGUGGAGAAGGAAUGGUCUGUGGCUUCGGGCAGUGUAUUACCCUAGAAACAGCCUUUGGAGCAACCAAUAACUUCACUCAAAUGUGAUUUUGGAGAUCCACUUUCCAGAAAGCUUGACUUGCCUCAAAAGACCCAUCUCUCUUCAUCAUACUAGUAAAUCUUUCUUAACUUCUAGAUGACAUCUAAAAUCUGCAAUUUUUCUUCUCCAUGUUUAAUCUGACUACUUUUUGCUGUAAUUAAACCCUUUCCCAGCCACAAGGCUCCGUGAGCAUCUACAACACCAAAGAUAUAUGUGCUGUCAAGAAAAAAACAUUGGCUAUUUUACUU